rnacentral:rRNA from 1 species
UACGUAGGGGGCAAGCGUUGUCCGGAUUUAUUGGGCGUAAAGAGCGUGUAGGCGGCCUGACAGGUCUGCUGUGAAAACUCGAGGCUCAACCUCGAGAUGUCGGCGGAAACCGUCUGGCUAGAGUCCGGAAGAGGAGAGUGGAAUUCCUGGUGUAGCGGUGAAAUGCGCAGAUAUCAGGAAGAACACCUAUGGCGAAGGCAGGUCUCUGGGCCACUACUGACGCUGAGAAGCGAAAGCGUGGGGAGCGAACAGG